rnacentral:rRNA from 1 species
UACGGAGGAUGCGAGCGUUAUCCGGAUUUAUUGGGUUUAAAGGGUGCGCAGGCGGAGGUGCAAGUCAGUGGUCAAAUUGCGGGGCUCAACCCCGUACUGCCGUUGAAACUGCAUCCCUUGAGUGCGCGAGAAGUAUGCGGAAUGCGUGGUGUAGCGGUGAAAUGCAUAGAUAUCACGCAGAACUCCGAUUGCGAAGGCAGCUUACCAAGCUACUUCUGACGUUGAGGCACGAAAGCGUGGGGAGCAAACAGG